rnacentral:rRNA from 1 species
GUGGGGAAUUUUGGACAAUGGGCGCAAGCCUGAUCCAGCAAUGCCGCGUGCAGGAAGAAGGCCUUCGUGUUGUAAACUGCUUUUGUACGGAACGAAAAGGCUCUGGUUAAUACCUGGGGCUCAUGACGGUACCGUAAGAAUAAGCACCGGCUAACUACGUGCCAGCAGCCGCGGUAAUACGUAGGGUGCAAGCGUUAAUCGGAAUUACUGGGCGUAAAGCGUGCGCAGGCGGUUUUGUAAGACAGACGUGAAAUCCCCGGGCUCAACCUGGGAAUGGCGUUUGUGACUGCAAAGCUGGAGUGCGGCAGAGGGGGAUGGAAUUCCGCGUGUAGCAGUGAAAUGCGUAGAUAUGCGGAGGAACACCGAUGGCGAAGGCAAUCCCCUGGGCCUGCACUGACGCUCAUGCACGAAAGCGUGGGGAGCAAACAGGAUUAGAAACCCGAGUAGUCC